rnacentral:rRNA from 1 species
UACGGAGGGUGCGAGCGUUAAUCGGAAUUACUGGGCGUAAAGGGCGCGUAGGUGGUGAAGUAAGUCUGAUGUGAAAGCCCUGGGCUUAACCUGGGAAUGGCAUGAGAAACUGCUUGACUAGAGUGUAACAGAGGGUCACGGAAUUCCCGGUGUAGCGGUGAAAUGCGUAGAGAUCGGGAAGAACACCGAUGGCGAAGGCAGUGAUCUGGGUUAACACUGACGCUGAGGCGCGAAGGCGUGGGGAGCAAACAGG